CCUUACACAUGCAAGUCGAACGGCAUCGGGGGAGCUUGCUCCUGCCGGCGAGUGGCGAACGGGUGAGUAAUACAUCGGAACGUACCCAGUAGCGGGGGAUAGCCCGGCGAAAGCCGGAUUAAUACCGCAUACGCCCUAAGGGGGAAAGGGGGGGAUCGCAAGACCUCUCACUAUUGGAGCGGCCGAUGGCUGAUUAGCUAGUUGCUGGGGUAAAGGCCUACCAAGGCAACGAUCAGUAGCUGGUCUGAGAGGACGACCAGCCACACUGGGACUGAGACACGGCCCAGACUCCUACGGGAGGCAGCAGUGGGGAAUUUUGGACAAUGGGCGAAAGCCUGAUCCAGCAAUGCCGCGUGUGCGAAGAAGGCCUUCGGGUUGUAAAGCACUUUUGUCAGGGAAGAAAUCGUUCGGGCCAAUACCCCGGGCAGUUGACGGUACCUGGAGAAUAAGCACCGGCUAACUACGUGCCAGCAGCCGCGGUAAUACGUAGGGUGCAAGCGUUAAUCGGAAUUACUGGGCGUUAAAGCGUGCGCAGGUGGUUCGUUAAGACAGUUGUGAAAUCCCCGGGCUUAACCUGGGAACUGCAAUUGUGACUGGCGGACUAGAGUUUGGCAGAGGGGGUGGAAUUCCUGGUGUA
rnacentral:rRNA from 1 species